UACACACGCGCACAUACACACACGCACACACACACACACUACAUACACACACGCACACACACACAGAUGCUUGCUAAGUAAAACUGUUCUUGUCUCAGAAAGCAGAGUCAUGAGGUGACUGUCAUCUUUGCAGAAAAGGACAGAGCUGUGUGGUGUCCAGCAUCGCACUGACGCAGGGCACUCUGUGUUUGUGGAAUGAAUACUGGGGAACAAACUUUACUCGCUGGAUAAACAGUGCAUCUCUUCAGGAAAAACUGCCAGGUCUUGGCUGGAAUACAACAGUGCCCGUGAGCCACACAGAGACCCAGGGCUGUGACACUACUCGGGCGGGUCAGACACUCAAAUGGAUACCCUCCCCCACUUUUUUGCAAAACAUUUUCAUUAGCCUCCAUCACUGGAACCGAGCAAGCAGGAACAAAAUGUUGGGUGCUCCUUCUGACAUGUUCAAGGCAAAGGGGGCCGCUUCAUCCCGGAAGCUUAACGUGGGUAAUUACACCAUAAACACCUCCGCAUUUUCAGUAGUCCAGGUGAUAUCCUGGGGAAUGUACAAAGUAAGCCGGGGCGCUGGUUUUUAGAUAUUUAUCUAGAAAAACAAGUCAGGCAGGGACACUGGACUGUACCUUUUCUUUGGUGUACUUUUCAAAUGAUAAUCCCUUGCACUGCCACCAUUAAAUCUCAAUCCGCUGCAGCUCCGUGCAUGGGUCAUUGAGUCUAUGUGUACUGCUGUUAUUCUAAAAUGUUCCCCUUGGUAGGGAACGAGGGGGAGGAAGGAUGCGGAGAGCCAGAUGGGCCUCUUCACAGUUCAUUUAUCAAACCUAAUACGCUGGGCUCCGCCCUCCUCUCUCGCACUAUUGCGGUUAAACUUCCAUAUAAUUUGGUAAUCAUUUUCAUUAUCAGACAGUGACCCCAAAGCAGCCGAUCCUGGGAUAUUCAGUCCUUGCAGCUGCUCUUUCUUCUGCCUGCUUCUACAGUAGACCCUAAGAGCUUUGGAUUUUAUUAGCUGCAGACUGACCUCUGGGCUGCGGAGGUCAAGAAGGGGUCAGAUCAGAGGGUUUGCCCAGUUCUUUAAAAGCUAUAACAAGCUGUCUGUCAGGCAGAGUGGACUGUAUAAACAAAGGGAAAUCUUCAGAAACUCGGUACCUCUUCUGUUAACACUUGCCGGGCAUUCACACGGUGCUCCUGAUGGGGACAUGAAUGGACAGCCUUAAUAAGCCUAUUUGGAGAGGGCUGUUUAUAAGAUUAUCGAGUUUGGGGAAGGAAACCCAACAGCGCUUAGAAGUGCCUCUAGAAUCGCAGGCUUGUGUGACACUGUGACAAACUCAGUUACCCCAAGUCACUGCAGAAUUGACACUUUGCUCAAGGAGCUAAAUUACAGAGAACAUAUGCUUUUGGUUUCAGACAUGCAGAGUCCCAGACAAUGGCUCUACUUCUAGCCUGAGAGAGGGACGUGUAUUUUAUGACUGAGUUACAAGUGUCACUGAAAAUGUUCUCUGUUGAUCAUGGUGGCAGAUGAACCUGCUGAGGAAAGGACUUUUGGAUGGGGGACUGAAGUCAGUGGGAGUCAGGCUGACUGGGUUCUCAAUGUACAGCUCAAUGUGUGUUAUAAGCUAACCAGAGUCAUCUGGAUGCAACUUUCUGAAGAAAAAAAAAAAAUCUAUUAUCUAACCUAACUGGUCCCUUGAUAGUUUUGACGAAGGUAAAAAGGCUGUAAUCUACUGCUUGGCCCUCUAGUGAGUGUUAAUUAUUUUCUGUUAAAGUGUGUGUGUGUAUGUGUUUGUGUUUGUGUGUGUGUGUGUGUGUGUGUGUGUGUGUGUUUGUUUUCCUUUGUGCGAUUCCUAAGCACACAAUAAGCCCAUCUUUAAAACCUAGGCAGCAAGCAGCAAGGAAGCGAGGCACUCUCUGGGAUGUUUUAUAACUUUCACCACCACCCGCUGGACAGCCACGCAAGGCCCGGCCUGUGCCAGACGCCGGGUGAAGCUUUGAUGAGGAAAGAGAGGGAUAUGGUGACCGUCUGUUUAUCCGGCUCAUAUGGAUGAGGCUUUGAGAUAGGGCACCGAGAUGGGAAACAUCAAAUGGGGGCACAGGAGGGUGGGGGAGGCGGACGGUUAUUUAAUACUCUGAGGACACUUUGCCUUUGGAGCUCUCGGGACAUCGACCUCUUGAAAUUCUCUUUCAGGUGUUUGGUUUUAAGAGGGUCUGCACAGUGUCAGCUGCUAAGCCCGUUCUUCCCUCCGCCUCCACCACAAAGGACUUGUGAAUUUUUGUUUCAGAUGCUAGACUAGCCAUCAACUUCAACACUGGCUCCAGCUCCUGAUUAAACUGUUAGCAGGAAAGGACCAGAAACGCUGAAGCCAGACUCCAUUUAAACAGGCCAUCUCGGCCACACUGUCUAAUGAGUUGAUGUCAUAGGAAAUUACUGGUAACAAACUAUAUGCACCCGACAAAAGACAGCCAUCCCUGGUGAGCGUGCAGUGUGGGUUGGGCUGUCUUUCAGGGGUUGGGGGGAAGAGACUAUGGGAGAAAGAACACAGAGGAACACAUUCUUCCCUCCUUUGUGAUUUAAUUGGUAGCACUAGGAAGAAAACAGAAUGUAGCAAAAAAAAAAAAAAAAAAAAAA
rnacentral:sRNA from 1 species